rnacentral:rRNA from 1 species
GACGAACGCUGGCGGCGUGCUUAACACAUGCAAGUCGAGCGGAAAGGCCCUGCUUUUGUGGGGUGCUCGAGUGGCGAACGGGUGAGUAACACGUGAGUAACCUGCCCUUGACUUUGGGAUAACUUCAGGAAACUGGGGCUAAUACCGGAUAGGAGCUACUGCUGCAUGGUGGGGGUUGGAAAGUUUCGGCGGUUGGGGAUGGACUCGCGGCUUAUCAGCUUGUUGGUGGGGUAGUGGAUUACAAAGGCUUUGACGGGUAGCCGGCCUGAGAGGGUGACCGGCCACAUUGGGACUGCGAUACGGCCCAGACUCCUACGGGCGGCAGCAGUGGGGAACAUUGCACAAUGGGCGGAAGCCUGAUGCAGCAACGCCGCGUGCGGGAUGACGGCCUUCGGGUUGUAAACCGCUUUCGCCUGUGACGAAGCGUGAGUGACGGUAAUGGGUAAAGAAGCACCGGCUAACUACGUG